AGUCUACCUCAUUUGACGUCAGGAGGGAAAUUGUCUGCCCGGUUUUGGGGCCAGCAGAGCCGCAGGACGUCUCUCUCUCUACCCGAAACCCCGGUGCGGAGCCACCCCACGUCGACCCGGACGCUUAAACCCAGGCUUGAGAGGUGUAUCGUUGUUCUGGUGACUUCAACGGCGCACGGAGCGACGUGUAGCUCCGAGAAACACCGGAUACGACAGCCGUUACCCGGAGACAGACUUCCGCCGACAAGCCUGGCGGGGGGAAAUCGUUUCAGUCGUUAUUUAAUGGAAAGCGUCGGCAUGUAGCAGCUCAGUGUUGAGGCUGCCAGGCUGUCCGUCAUGAAGAAGCGAGCCAACAAGGUGAAGGAGGAGGAGGAGACCUUGUGUUGCUGCGAGUAUGUGAACAGACAUGGCGAGCGCAGCAAUGUAGCAGCCUGCUGCUGCGACUGUGAGGACCUGGAUGACGCUUGUGACAGAUUUCUGAAGCGGGAGCCUCAGAAACCUGAAUCCCUGUCACAGGUGGCAGCAGUCGUCACAGACCGGAUUCGUGUGCCCUGGCUGUGGGGUGGAGCCCGCAAAGUGGACCUGUCCAUCAUCCCUCCUCUUAUUCUCCUUCCCGUCCUGCUGCACCUUGCUGCCUUCCACUUCCUGCUCGGCAUCGUGGUUCUGACAGCUCUGCCCGGCCUGGUGCUGUGGUACUACUACUUCACCCACCGCAAGAAGGGACGGACGCUCUUCUUCCUCAGCCUGGCUCUCUUCUCCCUGGCGUACAUGUACUACUUGUUUGUCACAGAGGUGCUUCCCCACGGGGACAUCGGCCUGGUCCAACUGUCGGUGGUCACGGUAGGGGUUAUCCUCACCCUAGUGGCUCUUGUUCACACUAAAAGAGAACCUGGCAUUGUGCUGCCUAAGCCAGAGGUUGUCCACAGCACGGUGACUUAUUACAGCCCUCUAGCGGACAGAGACCCUGACCUCCACGGAGGGGGGCAGGAUGUGACGAUGACGGUACCCAACCGAGCGGGAUCGGCAGAGCAGUCAGGGGUGGAGCUGAAGGAAAGCAGCCGAAGGAACUGGUGUCCAGUGUGCAGGGUGGUGCGGCCCCCGAGGGCGGGACAUUGUCGGAUCUGUGGUGUCUGCGUGCUGCGUCUCGACCACCACUGUGUCUGGAUAAACAGCUGCGUGGGGCAGGCCAAUCACCGCAGCUUCCUGCUUACGCUCGUCCUCUUCCUGCUGACGUCUCUGUAUGGGAUCAGCCUGGUGCUGCAGAGCGUGUGCCCGAGACAACACCUUCUCACUGCCCUGCUGUAUUGCCCGGGGGUCUACAACCAGUACAGCACUGCACUUUGCUUCACCUGUGCCUGGUACAGCAGCAUCGUGACUGGUGGGCUGCUUCACCUGCUGGUGGUGCAGAUCAUCAACAUCAGCUACAACGUGACAGAGCGCGAGGCACGCGUCGCCCUACGAGACAAAACCGCUCGCAGCGCCUACUGGGGACUUGUCGUGGACACCGGCGUCUACUCUCGGGGUAUCUGUGGCAACUGGGCAGAGUUCAUGACCAUGGGAGACAAACUGAAUCCUCCCUCUCGUGCCCCAACAGACCUGGUGUAAGAGACUGUUGAGGGGCCCUGAUUAUGGCUGCUGUUUUGUUCCUGUCCACUGGAUGGCAGCAUGGCUCCUUUAACCCUGAUUUAACGUUGGCCGCCUUCUGUUGGCAGCAAAUCUGAGAGCUGCCAUUAUUGACUGUUAUCACUGGGUUUCUGCAGCUUUUGAGUGCCUUGGUGGGAGCCAACAAACAAGAAAAAUGUAAGCAUGAGUGAUCUGCAGAUCCUCAUGGGAACAUUUUCUCUGAGCACAGCAACAUAAUGAUGCCUCUGGAGCUGGUCAGUCCCCAAAACACCCCAAAAUAUGGACUGAACAUCAUUUCAGGGAUGGUCUCUCUGUACACUAUACCUCCUCCAUCCUCUGCAAACCCGUUAUCUGCAGCACUCACAAAGGAGAAAACCUCACUCUGCCUCAUGAAGUGUGGCAUGGAUGGUUAUCACAGACAAAUGAAACAUCUCAGAACAAUCCAGAUAAUCAGUCUAAUUAAAGUUCCAUAGCCUGUCAUCGCUUUGAACAUGAUGAAUGAUUGCACAGUAAUGAAUAUAUUAAAAGUUACUUUUGCUCUUCUAAGCUGAGUUAAACAGCUCUGGAAAUAUGAAAAAAGCAAAUAAAUCAAUACUCAUCAAUGUCGGGUAGAGAAGUUAGCUUUUCAGUGCGUUCCACUGUCGUUGCUUUUUAGUCGUCAGAGUGACUGAAAGCUUUUUUUGUAUCCUAUGAAUUGUGUGGGUCCAGUUAUGUUUGUAUAAAAUGAAUUUUAUUUAUUUUUAUUAAAUGAAUAUGAGACAUGUA